GACGAACGCUGGCGGCGCGCCUAACACAUGCAAGUCGAGCGGGGGUAUAUGAGAAAUAAUUCUGAUAUACUCUAGCGGCGGACGGGUGAGUAACGCGUGAGCAACCUACCUUUUACAGGGGGAUAACGUUCCGAAAGGGACCCUAAUACCGCAUAAGACCACAACGCCCCAUGGCGAAGAGGUAAAAGGAGAAAUCCGGUAAAAGAUGGGCUCGCGUCUGAUUAGAUAGUUGGUGAGGUAAAGGCUCACCAAGUCAACGAUCGGUAGCCGACCUGAGAGGGUGAACGGCCACAUUGGAACUGAGACACGGUCCAGACUCCUACGGGAGGCAGCAGUGGGGAAUAUUGGGCAAUGGGGGAAACCCUGACCCAGCGACGCCGCGUGAAGGAAGACGGCCUUCGGGUUGUAAACUUCUGUUCUUGGUGAAGAGGGAAAGACGGUAACCAAGGAGGAAGCCCCGGCUAACUACGUGCCAGCAGCCGCGGUAAUACGUAGGGGGCGAGCGUUGUCCGGAAUGAUUGGGCGUAAAGGGCGCGUAGGCGGCUAAGAAAGUCCGGAGUGGAAGUCCUAUUUUCAAGGUAGGAAUUGCUUUGGAAACUUCAUAGCUUGAGUGCAGGAGAGGUUAUCGGAAUUCCCGGUGUAGCGGUGAAAUGCAUAGAGAUCGGGAGGAACACCAGUGGCGAAGGCGGGUAACUGGACUGCAACUGACGCUGAGGCGCGAAAGUGUGGGGAGCAAACAGGAUUAGAUACCCUGGUAGUCCACACUGUAAACGAUGAAUGCUAGGUGUAGGUGGUAUUCGACCCCAUCUGUGCCGUCGUAAACACAAUAAGCAUUCCGCCUGGGGAGUACGGUCGCAAGAUUAAAACUCAAAGGAAUUGACGGGGGCCCGCACAAGCAGCGGAGCAUGUGGUUUAAUUCGAAGCAACGCGAAGAACUCUUACCAGGUCUUGACAUCCGCUUUAGGCAUAUAGAGAUAUAUGUGGAACUUCGGUUCAAAGCGAGACAGGUGGUGCAUGGUUGUCGUCAGCUCGUGUCGUGAGAUGUUGGGUUAAGUCCCGCAACGAGCGCAACCCUUGCCAAUAGUUACUAACGGAUAAAGCUGAGGACUCUAUUGGGACUGCCGUGGACAACACGGAGGAAGGUGGGGACGACGUCAAAUCAUCAUGCCCCUUAUGACCUGGGCUACACACGUGCUACAAUGGUCGCAACAAAGAGGCGCGAAGUCGUAAGGCAGAGCAGAUCUCAAAAAAGCGAUCUCAGUUCGGAUUGUGGGCUGCAACCCGCCCACAUGAAGUCGGAGUUGCUAGUAAUCGCGAAUCAGCAUGUCGCGGUGAAUACGUUCCCGGGCCU
rnacentral:rRNA from 1 species